rnacentral:tRNA from 1 species
GGGGUUAUAGCUCAGCUGGGAGAGCGCUUGCAUGGCAUGCAAGAGGUCCGCGGUUCGAUACCGCGUAGCUCCACCA